CACGAUUACCUUUCGUCUUCUCCACGAUAUCACCUCCUCACAAAGUCGUAGACCUCUCUUCGCCUUCUCCGCAUUCUGCUUUUAAAUGAGCUCCAUCAUCCCACGACUGGUCUUUUCUUUGUCUUCUCCAUGAAGCCACAGAGCCACGCCCACGAACCCACAGUCACCAUUAGUCUUCUCUUUGUGGUCACCCCCUUCAUCUUCUCCAUCCAGAUCUGAAAUCCACGAACUCACAAACCCCUGAAACCCUAACCCUAACCCUAACUCUUAACCCUUUCAAAGUUCAAAACUUCAAACACACUCCCUACCCUCACUGACAGCAGCGACACAGCCGUGGGAGUGAAUGUGGAGCUAACGCAGACACUCCUUAGAAUGUAGGAAAGGAAAAUUGAUAGUAGCUUUGUUCUGAAGCUCAAGAUAAGAUUCCUGACUUCAAGAUGAAGCUAAUGGACAUAUACAAUGACCACCUUGGGAUCCAUGUAGCAGAGUUCCAAGCCAUUGUUAGAAUGCCAUUGGCUGAGUUUGCAAGGAUUUGCAAGGACCUUAGCACCAUUGAUGACACUGGCAUUCUGCAUUCUCACUUUCUUCCUUGUUACAGUUACUUUUUAAUUAUUAAUGAAAAUAGUUAAGUUGUUCCACAGUGUAGACAUCUCAGAAAUUCAGAACUCUCACUUUGGGUGUAAUGGUAAUUUUUGCAGUUGUUAUAUCCGUGUCAAAGGAAGGUGUGAAGUUCUCCACCAGAAGUGAUAUUGGGACUGCCAAUAUUGUUUGCAAGCAGAAUACUACUGUGGACAAGAAUUGAGAGACUGUCACAAGAUGGACUUACCUAUGGGUCCUUUUGUCAUGUUGACGUUGGGUUUUACAGCCAGAAGAAGCUAGUCAUAUAAAUGGAGGGGCCAGUCACAUUGACAUUUGCUCUAAGGGAUAUGAACUCAUUCACAAAGACAACCCCUUUGGCAAAGCAAGUGACAAUCAGCGAUCCAGCCUGUCGUCAGAUCUGCCUGGGGUAGUUGAGUACAAAGUGGCAGAGAUGAGUUACAUAAGAUUCUACUUGGCUCCCAAGUUAGAAGAAGACCAAGUUAGAAGAAGAUGAGAUUGAAACUCAAGUUAGCCAGGCCUCAAUUUGACAUCAGGCCUAAAGCGGAAACCAAGCGCCAAGUGGAGGCCAAGCCUACAGGAAAGACCAAACCUAAAUUGGACAUAGAGUCUGAAGAGGAGAGGAAGCCUCCAAUCACAGUCUUUGCAUCACCGAAUCCCACCGUGGACUGGUUCUGAGUUAAUUUUCAUGUUUGUAUACGCACGCAUGUAGUUCAUAUCCUUGUGCGCUAUGAAUUUUUAAGAAAUUCCUUAAAUACAGCGAUGUAUAAGUGCAGAA